GACAUAAACAUUAUAAAUGGUUUUUACCGUAUAAAAUGAUCAACACAUUUAAUAUCUGUUACAUACAAAGGUGAAAAAAAUGGCUGAAACUCUCAAGAUUGUUUAUAUUAUGAUGCUUUUGUUUUCUCUAAUUCUCAUUAUAAGAGCUGAUCCACCUCCACAAACAUGUUUGACUAGGAAAGAUUGCAACAGGGUUUUUCCUAUCAAUGCCAAUGGUCAACCCAUGAUAUCUUAUCGACCCUUGUGCUUAGCUGGUCGUUGUAUCGAUUUGGCAAAUUUGAGCAUGGAUCCUUAAAACAAGAUUAAAAUAGUACUUUCAGGUGUUUGUUCACAAUAGAGAGGAUUGAGAUGAUUGGAUCAUCUCCUUCACUCUCCUCUCCAUCUCUCUCAAUCCUCUUUAUUUUUCUCUUAAUUUCAAUCUCUCUCUUCAAUAAAAAAAUUUAAAAUAAUAAUGAGAGAGAGUGAGAUUAAGAGAGAGAUAGAGAGGAUUGAGAGAGAUGGAAAGGAGAGUGAAUGUGAAGGAGAGGAUCCAAAUCCCAAGAAUAAAGUGCAUCAUUAUUCUCUCACCUAUGCUAUGAUGUUUCUUAAAGUUUAUUUUGGAUUAUUUUGUAAGUUUCAAUUGUGUUGUAAGACUUUGAUUUUGUUGCAUCAGGGUUAGGUUUAAUAAUAUGGUCUUGACUUAUUUCGUUGGAUCGUAAAAAAAAAAUAUGUAUGUUAUUCAUUUUAAGGAUAAUUGUAAGGUUCUAUGGAGUCAAAAUACUAUAUUCAAUAUUGUAUAAUUUAUGUAUUUCACAUAAUAUUUUAUUACCAUUUUUAAUUUAAUUUA